AGAUGUGUAACUCCUUCCAACUCUUUAUUAGGACAAAACAGUUGACCAGAGGGUGAGAGCUUUUCCAUAUUCACAUUAUGACUCCCAUGGGCCUGACCGAGCUUGGAAUUAACAAAGAUGGGGACCGUAAAGUCAUCCUCUUCUGUUCUCUUUUUCAAUUCAUAUUGUUGCAAGAGAGUACUGGGAUCGGAACUGUGGCCAGGUGGUUUAUCAGCUAGACGUCUAGAUGGAGGGUGUUGUAUAGGGAGAUAUCCACUUCUGUCAUGCCCACUCCCCUGGCUUGAGGAUGGAGGGGCCAUCUUUGAAGUAU
rnacentral:misc_RNA from 1 species